UUAAAUUGAAGAGUUUGAUCAUGGCUCAGAUUGAACGCUGGCGGCAGGCCUAACACAUGCAAGUCGAACGGUAACAGGAAGCAGCUUGCUGCUUCGCUGACGAGUGGCGGACGGGUGAGUAAUGUCUGGGAAACUGCCUGAUGGAGGGGGAUAACUACUGGAAACGGUGGCUAAUACCGCAUAACGUCGCAAGACCAAAGAGGGGGACCUUCGGGCCUCUUGCCAUCAGAUGUGCCCAGAUGGGAUUAGCUAGUUGGUGAGGUAACGGCUCACCAAGGCGACGAUCCCUAGCUGGUCUGAGAGGAUGACCAGCCACACUGGAACUGAGACACGGUCCAGACUCCUACGGGAGGCAGCAGUGGGGAAUAUUGCACAAUGGGCGCAAGCCUGAUGCAGCCAUGCCGCGUGUAUGAAGAAGGCCUUCGGGUUGUAAAGUACUUUCAGCGGGGAGGAAGGUGUUGUGGUUAAUAACCGCAGCAAUUGACGUUACCCGCAGAAGAA
rnacentral:rRNA from 1 species